AUAACAAUACAGGACUCUUUCGAGGCCCUGUAAUUGGCCCCGUAACGAGGAUCUAUUGGAGGGAAUGUCUGGGGCCAGCAGAUGUGGUAAUUCCAGCUCCAA